GACGAACGCUGGCGGCGCGCCUAACACAUGCAAGUCGAGGGAGAAGCCACCUUCGGGUGGUGGAGACCGGCGAACGGGUGAGUAACACGUGAGGAACCUGCCCUGCAGUCUGGAAUAACCGCGGGAAACUGCGGCUAAUGCCAGAUAUUCUCCUGCCCCCGCAUGGGGGCUUGCGGAAAGCUCCGGCGCUGCAGGAUGGCCUCGCGGCCUAUCAGCUUGUUGGNGGGGUAACGGCCCACCAAGGCUACGACGGGUAGCUGGCGUGAGAGCGCGAUCAGCCACAC
rnacentral:rRNA from 1 species